AAGCAAUCGAAUAGCUCUGUUAGUCAUAAAAUCAAUGUGAAAUGUAAAUGUGAGCUCCGAAUCGAGCCAAACUCCAAGAUCUUUAAUUAGGUUCUGUCUCUCGAGCGAUCCAGAGUUCAAAUGUUGUUUGUAUUAAGAGUUAAAUUGUUCUGUCUGCACCACAAAGAAAACCUAUCCUGUAACCUGUAAUCGAUGACAGUCAAGAGUUGAAGCUACAACCUUAAAGAGCUUUAAAUCUUCCGCAAAUGCUAAAAAUUGGCAAAAGCGAAAAAUAUUUUUUUUGUCAUUAAUGAAAACAUUGAAAAGGAAUGUGGAAAGAUGUCCCCCUUGUCGGACACCAGACGUCACAACAGCCUCUAACGAAAUGUAAUUUUUAACUUUAACUGAUUGCUUUUGGUUAGUCAUAUUACUGCGAAACCAAUUUAGAAGAUUUCCAAAGAUUCCAACCCCUGAGAGCUUCCCUACCAGAAUGCCAUUGGUCAACCCUGUCGAAGGCCUUGGAGAAGUCAGUAUAUAUAGCAUCUACCUGAUACCGACUAUCAAAGGUCCCCAACAGCGAACGCUCAUAGCUCAGGAAGUUCGAAACAGUUGACCUUCCCUUAACAAAACCAUGCUGUUCGGUUAAAAUAACGUUUUUAAAAUGAGAGGUGACGUAAUCGGAAACUAUACCCUCAAAUAUUUUCGAAAACAAGCAGAUUUUAGAGAUUGGGCGAUAGUUUUUAUGUUAGCCCUGUCACCAUCUUUGAAAAUGGGUGUAACACAAGAUUUUUUCUAAUAUGAAGGAAAAACGCCGCAGUUGAGAAAAAACACGAUGGUCUCCUAAAGAAUUUGUGCAUUUGAAAGAUUUAUGAGUUUUCUUCUUUUCUAGGAUUAAAGAUUUAAGGUUAUCAUUAAUCCACUUGGGACAUUUUGGAGUUCUAUAGCCAGCGAUAGGUGUAAAUAACUCAAUAGCACAAAAGACAACAUCAUAGAAUUGCGAAACCAUCAUAACUACAUCCGCACACUUAAAAAUACAAUCCCAGUUGACAUUUGACAAAAACAGAUUAAUUUCUUAAUGACCAAGCUAAAUUUGCAAACGAAGGCUGGAUGAGGCGCAUCCAGUCUUAAUAACGGCCUAUCACAGAUCGUAACACAGGUAUCAUGCUGACUAGAGAACAGCAAAUCAAGAAAAUUGCCAUACUUAUUUGGGAUCUGUAUGUUUUCAAAUAACCCCAAAUAUGCCACACAAUCGGAAAUAACAAUUGCCUCUAGACGCCUCUUAAAUAGUAAUAGAAGUCUGAAAAGUAAACUUCCCCAGGAGAAUAUUCUCGAUUAUCUGGGGCAGUUCCAAAUAGUGCUGGCAAAUUGCCUAGUAGCAGCGGCAACCCCAAAAGAAGAAGAAGAAGAAACAAUUGCCUCAUUUGAGAGAUUCCCGCAACGCGUAGCACCAGGUUCCCUGUUCUACCAUGAUAGUUCAGGUAAAUUAAAAUCUCCCCAGAGAAAAAUACAUUACGGAAAGACAACAAUUUUCAUACACCUCGGCAAGGAGACACCUGGGAUAUAAGCAUUGCCGACCAGAAUCUUAUUAAUAUCCAUGGUUACCGGAAUAAAUAUUUGCUCGACAGUAUUAAUAGGAGGGCCAAGAAGUUGGCAGGAUAUAGACCUCUUCACAGCAUUAAGCACCCCUCCCUAAGUCAAACAGUUAUUAGUUGCUGCUGACCUAUCGCACCUAAAGACUGCUAUCCAUCAGGGGCUGCAGUUUUGAUUUUAGACCGACAUUCUGGUAAUAAAAUGUCAGAGUUUGGUGAUAUGGCUUUUCGAGAAUUCCAGAACGUAAACAGCUUGAAGAUGAUAUUGUUAGGCCAAAAACUGCUAUCAUUUAAGGCGUCAUAAAACGUUUCACAAUGCCAACUUUAAAACUUUUAGAAUUAGAUUUGCAGGGCAAUUCUUCCACCGUCAACAUGCUGUCCAUUGAAA